CGGAAGUGAUGUGACGCUCCCAUCUGAUGCUACGGCGGCCGGGGAGUAGCGGGUAACCAUAGAAACAGAAGCCACACGAAGGUUCAAAUAGCGGGGAAUAGGCGCACUCGGCCAUCCUGAGGAAGCCUGCUGAGACAGGCGAAACUAGUAGAUUGCAGAGACGCCGAUCCAUUGUCUGCCGGCAGACACUCGUCGUUUGUUUCUUUGUGACACAAAAGUCCUUCUCACGUUCACUUGGCUCCGCCGUAACCAACACCAUGAGUACUAGUGGUUCCGGCUCCACAGGUUAGCCUGGUGGACUAUUCCACAGAGGUGGAGUGUGAGCCCACUAUAACACUCACUCCUAUAUCCCCAACUAUAACCAUUUUACCUACCCAGCAGCACCAGCCACCCACACAGGAGUCAGCUCAUGACACCAGCCCAAGUGUGGAUGAGCUGGCUCUGCUCCUGCAUCAGUUCCAUGAACACCAGUUUUGCUUUAUGGAUCAGCAUUGUGCUCAUAUGGACUGCAUUAGCCACCAGCUAAGAAAACAAAACAGGACCUGCAUGGUUGCGCAGGGGACCCCCAUCUGUAUGGCCACCGACAUAAGGAUGCUGCUGUUUCAACUCACAGCAGCCACCCAAGAGCAAACAGUGGCCAUAUGGGACCAAAUGACUGCCAUCCAGGAGAAAACAAUGGCUUUUGUGACCAUACAAAGUGAGCUGGUAGGCCAAAGGGCUGUUACAGAUGCUCCCAACUCAUCUUCCACCAGCUCCCAAAACACCAACACCCAAACAACUGCAAAACAUCCACACCCCCAAUGCAUAGUGUCCAUAUGCAUGGGGAUGGUUGUACUGUUCACCUAAGGGGGCAGGGAGGGACAGAGGCUUUUCCAUCUCUCAGUGAUUUUUCUUUCAAAAUGUUUAUUUCUGUUUUUUGUUCUUAUUAUAAUUUUCCGUUUUUGCAUUAGUAAAGUGUUUAAAAAAUUG